GCCAGACUCCUACGGGAGGCAGCAGUGAGGAAUAUUGGUCAAUGGCCGGAAGGCUGAACCAGCCAAGCCGCGUGAGGGAGGAAGGCGCAGAGCGUCGCAGACCUCUUUUGCCGGGGGACAAAAGGCCGGACUCGUCCGGUCCUGAGGGUACCCGGAGAAAAAGCAUCGGCUAACUCCGUGCCAGCAGCCGCGGUAAUACGGAGGAUGCGAGCGUUAUCCGGAUUCAUUGGGUUUAAAGGGUGCGCAGGCGGGCCUUUAAGCCGGCGGUGAAAGCGCGGGGCUCAACCCCGGCCUGCCGUUGAAACUGGCGGCCUCGAGUGGGCGAGAAGUAUGCGGAAUGCGUGGUGUAGCGGUGAAAUGCAUAGAUAUCACGCAGAACUCCGAUUGCGAAGGCAGCAUACCGGCGCCCGACUGACGCUGAGGCACGAAAGCGUGGGUAUCGAACAGGAUUAGAUACCCCUGUAC
rnacentral:rRNA from 1 species